GACGAACGCUGGCGGCGUGCUUAACACAUGCAAGUCGAGCGGUAAGGCCCUUCGGGGUACACGAGCGGCGAACGGGUGAGUAACACGUGAGUAAUCUGCCCAUCACUUCGGGAUAACUCCGGGAAACCGGUGCUAAUACCGAAUAUGACCACUUCAGGCAUCUGAUGGUGGUGGAAAGUUCCGGCGGUGAUGGAUGAGCUCGCGGCCUAUCAGCUUGUUGGUGGGGUAGUGGCCUACCAAGGCUUCGACGGGUAGCUGGCCUGAGAGGGUGACCGGCCACACUGGGACUGAGACACGGCCCAGACUCCUACGGGAGGCAGCAGUGGGGAAUAUUGGACAAUGGGCGAAAGCCUGAUCCAGCAACGCCGCGUGAGGGAUGACGGCCUUCGGGUUGUAAACCUCUUUCAGCAGGGACGAAGCGCAAGUGACGGUACCUGCAGAAGAAGCACCGGCCAACUACGUG
rnacentral:rRNA from 1 species